GUUUCCCUGCGGUGUUUGUGAUAAAUGAUAAACUUAGAACCAACACCUCUUUAUUGGGCGCUGCACCGUGUUGCGGUGUGCUAUCUCUUUUUGAGAGAAGCCUAAAGCGACACACUGGCGGCCACCUUACCUGAGAGGUUCGAGACUUAUUGUUUACACGGCACUGCGGGGCUUUU
rnacentral:other from 1 species